rnacentral:lncRNA from 1 species
GUCUGCCUCUAGGCAUAUGUUCUCCAUGUGGCAGGGCUGCACAUAAAUCCCACAACUCCAAUAAUCAUUGUCUGUGAAGGCAGGGAAUUAAACAGAAACAAACAAACACACUUAAAUCUAUUCAUAUUCAAACUGUUUUCCUGCUCUUAUUUUUAAGCCGACACAAAAUGGAGUUCACAGAUCUCAUUGGCUAUGCCCAGCAUAUUCAUUUCGUCUACUGUCUCUUAUUUCAUGGUAAUUUAUGUUGACAUGGUGAUUCGUGUUGACAGGCUUUACCAAGAUUGAAUACUUCUGAUUACCUACCUUUUUAACUAUUGUCAGACGCUAGAAAGCUUCUCUGAUCAAUGAGUGUGAAGUGGGACAACACAGUAACAUUCAUUUUGGCCCGAGAAAUGUACAAAAGGGAAUGCCAAAUAUUUCACAGCAAAUUGCCAUCUAAGAUAAAAUAUACGGAGACCAGUGGCCAUAGUGGAAUUUAUUUGUUAUUCUUUCCUAUUGUCAUUAAUAAUAAUUGAUUUAAAUAUAUCGUAACUCUACAAAUACAGAACCAAUGCAUUCUAUCUAUUUUGAUAACCUGAUAAAACACAAAAUAAUAUAUUGCUUUCAUCCUUGCUUGUUUUUUCUUUUGAAAUUGAAAAGUAAUGAGCAAGAUAUAAAGUUGGACUAUUGGCAGAGAUUUUUAUCAAAAUGACUAUUCCAUUCUGUUUUUUAUGGAUUUAUGUUAAAGAUGCAUUAUAGAUAUUUUUGGAGCAGAUGGAUCAAAGUGGGAGUUUUGUAAUGGUCAUAUAUUGCAUCAUCAAAAAUUUAGUACAUGUUUCAUAAGCAUUAGGAAUGGAGACCUUUUCUCUUUUGAAAAUAUGUGUUCACAUUGCAAAAUGUCUAACAGCAUUAUCAGAACCAAAAUCAGAGCCUGACAUGAAUGUACUAUUCCCAAUGAAAGUUGUCUCGUGUAGUAUUUUUAAAAGAUUGUAUUAGUCC